GCAAGACAAAGCCAUUCAUAGCCUGCUUACAUACUGAAUUUUGGAAAACAAAAUAAAUCUGUAAUCAAAUUGGCAUUGAAAAAUCAAUCACCUACUUUUCGACGAGCGUAUGCCUGUUAAUCUAUAAGUUUAGUACAUUCACAGCCUUUGUAAGAGCAACUUUACAAUUUUUUUAACAAUUUCUUAACAAUCUUCAAAAUGUUCAUUGGUCCGGUUCAGAAAGAACAUUUACACAUGAUGAUUCUGGGUUGCGGUUGGCCUUGUGGAUCAUUGAGCGGACCCUGUGAUGGCUGCUGCGGAGGUUGUUGUGGCAGUUGCUGUGGCAGUUGCUGUGGCGGCGGUUGUGGCGGCUGUUGUUAGGUGCAACACCUAGCUUGAAGCUAUGUGGACCUGGACCAAUGUUCAUUGCAAAAGGUCAUACAAUCAACAUCUUUCUACAAGUAAA